rnacentral:lncRNA from 1 species
CAGGUGGCGCCACUCACGGGGAGUUUUAUUUCCAGAAAAGCCCUUCCCAGAAAACAGGGCAUGUACGGUGCCCCCUGGAGUUGUGUGAGGAUACCCUACUAGUUUGGAUUCAACAAACAAUUGAGAUGAGCAUGGUGGCCUAGAGACGAUCUCUCUUCUGUUGGUUCCUCACAAAGGUGAAUGAUUUCCUGCUGCAAAGACUGUGAGGCAUCAUUUUUCCAAUUAGAAGUGUUGCUUUGUCAUUGGACUACAUAUAUCUGGAUACCAUAAUGAUAAUGGACUUGCUUCCCUUUUAAUUUCAUGAUUGAGCAUUUAUAUCCUGAGUUAGACCCAGUCUGACAAAGGCACUGACAUGGAGGAGCUCAUGGUCUGAUGGGGAUAACAGGAACUCUGCAUCAAAUCGCUUUCCGUGAAUUUGUUUCCAUGCAGUGGUGUGGAAGAGCAAUUAUAAAAUUAAUUCAGAGCAGGAAUGUUUUAUAUCCUGAAUGAAGAAGAAAGGGGAGAUUGGAGGUGCUACCUUAAUGUGUGCCUGGAUCCAUCAUUCCUGAACAUGCUGCUGUUUUAUUUCAUUCUGAUGUGGUGUUUCUCCCAGCUCCUAAGCUCCUUUUGGCAUAUAUCUUUUUGCAGAACUGGAAAAAAUUUGAAAUGAGAAAAAAUGAGUUGUGGCUGUUUUUUGUUUUGGGUUUUGUUUUGGUAGAAAUGGGGUUUUAGCAUAUUUCCCAAGCUGGUCUGGAGCUCCUGAGCUCAAGGGAGCCGCUGGCCUCAGCCUCCCAAAGUGCUGGGAUUACAGGCAUGAGCCGCCACACCCAGCCUAAGAAAUGGGUUUUGUUUUGAGAUUUCCACAACCACACUAGAAGUGGCUGACAUCCUGGGAGUGAGUGUGGAAACUUCAAGACUGGCUUUUGAGAACCUGAGUCUAGGGCGUGUAUCGGGUGCUUCUUAUGUUUUCGUGCUCACUUGUGUGGGAAGACAAGAUAUGAGACAAAAAGACACACAUAGCUGCAGGCACACACGUACAUGUGUAUACAUAUUGCUGGUUUAGAAGGCCUUGAGCCUUUGGGAUACUGAGGCCAGAGGAUCACUUGAGCCUGGGAGUUUGAAACCAGCUUGCGC